AGUGAACGCUGGCAGCGUGCUUAACACAUGCAAGUCGAACGAGAACGGAUUAUAGCUUGCUAUAAUUGUCAGCUAAGUGGCGCACGGGUGAGUAAUGUAUAGGUAAUAUGCCUCUUACUAAGGGAUAACAAAUGGAAACGUUUGCUAAUACCUUAUACUCCUUAUUAACAGAAGUUAAUAAGGGAAAGAUUUAUUGGUAAGAGAUUAGCCUGUAUUGUAUCAGUUAGUUGGUGGGGUAAUGGCUUACCAAGACUAUGACACAUAACUGGUUUGAGAGGAUGAUCAGUCACACUGGAACUGAGACACGGUCCAGACUCCUACGGGAGGCAGCAGUGGGGAAUAUUGCACAAUGGACGAAAGUCUGAUGCAGCAACGCCGCGUGGAGGAUGACACAUUUCGGUGCGUAAACUCCUUUUAUAUGAGAAGAUAAUGACGGUAUUAUAUGAAUAAGCACCGGCUAACUCCGUGCCAGCAGCCGCCGUAACAC
rnacentral:rRNA from 1 species